UGGGGAAUAUUGGACAAUGGGCGAAAGCCUGAUCCAGCAACGCCGCGUGAGGGAUGACGGCCUUCGGGUUGUAAACCUCUUUCAGUACCGACGAAGCGCCUCUAGAGGUGGUGACGGUAGGUACAGAAGAAGGACCGGCCAACUACGUGCCAGCAGCCGCGGUAAUACGUAGGGUCCGAGCGUUGUCCGGAAUUAUUGGGCGUAAAGGGCUCGUAGGCGGUCUGUCGCGUCGGGAGUGAAAUUUUACAGCUUAACUGUGAACGUGCUUUCGAUACGGGCAGACUGGAGGCAUGCAGGGGAGAACGGAAUUCCUGGUGUAGCGGUGAAAUGCGCAGAUAUCAGGAGGAACACCGGUGGCGAAGGCGGUUCUCUGGGCAUGUCCUGACGCUGAGGAGCGAAAGUGUGGGGAGCGAACA
rnacentral:rRNA from 1 species